GUAGGUGAACCUGCGGAAGGAUCAUUAUUGAAUCUUUUUUCAAAAAAAACAAAAAACCAAAAAAGAACAAAGAAAGAAAAAGAAAAAGAAAAAGAAAUGGAAACAAGAAGGAAAAAGAAAACACUCGGUUUUUUGCUUUGUGCUUUCUUUUUUUUUGUUGCUUCAAGUUUUUGGAUGUUCUCUUUUUCUUUGUUUGUUCUUUUUUGCCCACUGUGCACAUUUCCCUCUUUUUUCUUUUGGUUCUGUUUGC
rnacentral:misc_RNA from 1 species